UAUGUCCUACGGGGCGCAGCAGUGGGGAAUUUUGGACAAUGGGCGCAAGCCUGAUCCAGCUAUUCCGCGUGUGGGAUGACGGCCCUCGGGUUGUAAACCACUUUAGUAGAGAACGAAAAGGAGCUAUCGAAUAAAUAGCUCUGCUGACGGUACUCUAAGAAUAAGCACCGGCUAACUACGUGCCAGCAGCCGCGGUAAUACGUAGGGUGCGAGCGUUAAUCGGAAUUACUGGGCGUAAAGGGUGUGCAGGCGGCUGAGUAAGACACAUGAGAAAUCACCGGGCUUAACCUGGGAACCGC
rnacentral:rRNA from 1 species